UACGUAGGGUGCAAGCGUUAAUCGGAAUUACUGGGCGUAAAGCGUGCGCAGGCGGUUUUGUAAGUCUGUCGUGAAAGCCCCGGGCUCAACCUGGGAAUUGCGAUGGAGACUGCAAGGCUUGAAUCUGGCAGAGGGGGGUAGAAUUCCACGCGUAGCAGUGAAAUGCGUAGAGAUGUGGAGGAACACCGAUGGCGAAGGCAGCCCCCUGGGUCAAGAUUGACGCUCAUGCACGAAAGCGUGGGGAGCGAACAGG
rnacentral:rRNA from 1 species